rnacentral:rRNA from 1 species
UGGGGAAUAUUGGACAAUGGGCGAAAGCCUGAUCCAGCCAUGCCGCGUGAGUGACGAAGGCCUUAGGGUUGUAAAACUCUUUCGUCGGGGACGAUAAUGACGGUACCCGAAGAAGAAGCUCCGGCUAACUUCGUGCCAGCAGCCGCGGUAAUACGAAGGGAGCUAGCGUUGUUCGGAAUCACUGGGCGUAAAGCGCACGUAGGCGGAUAGUUAAGUCAGGGGUGAAAUCCUGGGGCUCAACCCCAGAACUGCCUUUGAUACUGGCUGUCUCGAGGUCGAGAGAGGUUGGUGGAAUUCUUGGUGUAGCGGUGAAAUGCGUAGAUAUCAAGAGGAACACCUGAGGUGAAGACGGGUUGCUGGGCUGACACUGACGCUGAGGCGCGAAAAGCCAGGGGGA